rnacentral:tRNA from 1 species
UCCCUUGAAGCUCAGUUGGUAAAGAAUCUGCCUGCAGUGCAGGAAACCCGGGUUUGAUCCCUGGCUUGGGAA